rnacentral:rRNA from 1 species
GACGAACGUUGGCGGCGUGCUUAACACAUGCAAGUCGAACGGAAAGGCCCUGCUUUUGUGGGGUGCUCGAGUGGCGAACGGGUGAGUAACACGUGAGUAACCUGCCCUUGACUUUGGGAUAACUUCAGGAAACUGGGGCUAAUACCGGAUAGGAGCUCCUGCUGCAUGGUGGGGGUUGGAAAGUUUCGGCGGUUGGGGAUGGACUCGCGGCUUAUCGGCUUGUUGGUGGGGUAGUGGCUUACCAAGGCUUUGACGGGUAGCCGGCCUGAGAGGGUGACCGGCCACAUUGGGACUGAGAUACGGCCCAGACUCCUACGGGAGGCAGCAGUGGGGAAUAUUGCACAAUGGGCGGAAGCCUGAUGCAGCAACGCCGCGUGCGGGAUGACGGCCCUCGGGUUGUAAACCGCUUUCGCCUGUGACGAAGCGUGAGUGACGGUAAUGGGUAAAGAAGCACCGGCUAACUACGUGCCAGCAGCCGCGGUGAUACGUAGGGUGCGAGCGUUGUCCGGAUUUAUUGGGCGUAAAGGGCUCGUAGGUGGUUGAUCGCGUCGGAAGUGUAAUCUUGGGGCUUAACCCUGAGCGUGCUUUCGAUACGGGUUGACUUGAGGAAGGUAGGGGAGAAUGGAAUUCCUGGUGGAGCGGUGGAAUGCGCAGAUAUCAGGAGGAACACCAGUGGCGAAGGCGGUUCUCUGGGCCUUUCCUGACGCUGAGGAGCGAAAGCGUGGGGAGCGAACAGGCUUAGAUACCCUGGUAGUCCACGCUGUAAACGGUGGGUACUAGGUGUGGGGUCCAUUCCACGGGUUCCGUGCCGUAGCUAACGCUUUAAGUACCCCGCCUGGGGAGUACGGCCGCAAGGCUAAAACUCAAAGGAAUUGACGGGGCCCCGCACAAGCGGCGGAGCAUGCGGAUUAAUUCGAUGCAACGCGUAGAACCUUACCUGGGUUUGACAUGGAUCGGGAGUGCUCAGAGAUGGGUGUGCCUCUUUUGGGGUCGGUUCACAGGUGGUGCAUGGCUGUCGUCAGCUCGUGUCGUGAGAUGUUGGGUUAAGUCCCGCAACGAGCGCAACCCUUGUUCACUGUUGCCAGCACGUUAUGGUGGGGACUCAGUGGAGACCGCCGGGGUCAACUCGGAGGAAGGUGGGGAUGACGUCAAGUCAUCAUGCCCCUUAUGUCCAGGGCUUCACGCACGCUACAAUGGCUGGUACAGAGAGUGGCGAGCCUGUGAGGGUGAGCGAAUCUCGGAAAGCCGGUCUCAGUUCGGAUUGGGGUCUGCAACUCGACCUCAUGAAGUCGGAGUCGCUAGUAAUCGCAGAUCAGCAACGCUGCGGUGAAUACGUUCCCGGGGCU